rnacentral:tRNA from 1 species
AGUCUUAUAUUCAAUUAUGAUUUUAAAUUGCAAAUUUAAAGGUGUUUACUCUAAGGCUU